rnacentral:rRNA from 1 species
CCCACUGAAUUAUAAUUUGAAGGGCCGCAGUAUCCUAACUGUGCAAAGGUAGCAUAAUAAUUAGUCUUUUAAUUGAAGGCUUGUAUGAAUGAUUGGACGAGAUAUAAACUGUCUCAAUUAAAUUGUUAGAAUUUUAUUUUUUAGUUAAAAAGCUAAAAUUUAUUUAAAAGACGAGAAGACCCUAUAGAUCUUUAUAUUAAUUUUUAUAUAAUUUUUGGGGAUUAAUUUUAGUUAUAUUUAAUAUUAAUAUUUUAUUGGGGUGAUACUGAAAUUUAAAAAACUUUCAGUUAUUUAUAACAUUAAUUUAUGAUUUAUUGAUCCGCUAUUAGUGAUUAAAAAUUUAAGUUACCUUAGGGAUAACAGCGUAAUUAUUUUGGAGAGUUCAUAUCGAUAAAAUAGAUUGCGACCUCGAUGUUGGAUUAAGAUUAAUUUCAGGGGCAGUACCUUGAACUAUUGAGUCUGUUCGACUCUUAAUUUCUUACAUGAUCU